rnacentral:lncRNA from 1 species
UUCUCAUUAAAAAUUUUUUUUAUUUGUUGAACAAUACCAUUUUGGGCUACAGAAUGCUAGAUUUCUAUGGCAGUAAUUAAAACCAGUGCCUGUGUAUCUAAGUGAUUUGUCUAGACGGCAAAUGAUGCAAGCUGUAAUCUAUUCCUUUUUAUGGGCUAAUCAGUUCUGCUCAGUUAAAAUUUCCUUGUGUUUUGCUGAAUUGAAUAAUACCUUUCAUUAAGAUUCAGUUCCCUCUCCCUCUCCCUCUCCCUCCCCCUCCCCCUCUCCCUCUCCCUCUCCCUCUCCCCACGGUCUCCCUCUCCCUCUCUUUCCACGGUCUCCCUCUCAUGCUGAGCCAAAGCUGUACUGUACUGCUGCCAUCUCGGCUCACUGCAACCUCCCUGCCUGAUUCUCCUGACUCAGCCUGCCCAGUGCCUGCGAUUGCAGGCUCACGCCGCCACGCCUGACUGGUUUUGGUGGAGACGGGGAUUCGCUGUGUUGGCCGGGCCGGUCUCCAGCCCCUAACCGCAAGUGAUCCGCCAGCCUCGGCCUCCCGAGGUGCCGGGAUUGCAGACGGAGUCUCCUUCACUCAGUGCUCAAUGGUGCCCAGGCUGGAGUGCAGUGGCGUGAUCUCGGCUCGCUACAACCUGCACCUCCCAGCCGCCUGCCUUGGCCUCCCAAAGUGCCGAGAUUGCAGCCUCUGCCCGGCCGCCACCCCGUCUGGGAAGUGAGGAGCGUCUCUGCCUGGCCGCCCAUCGUCUGGGUUGUGAGGAGCCCCUCUGCCCGGCCGCCCAGUCUGGGAAGUGAGGAGCCCCUCUGCCCGGCCGCCAUCACGUCUGGGAAGUAAGGAGCAUCUCAGCCCGGCUGCCCAUCGUCUGGGAUGUGAGGAGCGCCUCUGCCAGGCCGCCCAGUCUGGAAAGUGAGGAGCGUCUCCGCCUGGCCGCCAUCCCACCUAGGAAGUGAGGAGCACCUCUUCCCGGCCGCCAUCCCAUCUAGGAAGUGAGGAGCGUCUCUGCCCGGUCGCCCAUCGUCUGAGAUGUGGGGAGCGCCUCUGCCCCGCCGCCCCGUCUGGGAUGUGAGGAGCACCUCUGCCCGGCCGCCCCGUCUGAGAAGUGAGGAGCCCCUCCGCCCGGCAGCCGCCCCAUCUGGGAAGUGAGGAGCGUCUGCGCCCGGCAGCCAGCCGUCCGGGAGGGAGGUGGGGGGGUCAGCCCCCCGCCCGGCCAGCCGCCCCGUCCGGGAGGGAGGUGGGGGGGUCAGCCCCCAGCCCGGCCAGCCGCCCCGUCCGGGAGGGAGGUGGGGGGGUCAGCCCCCCGCCCGGCCAGACGCCCCGUCCGGGAGGGAGGUGGGGGGGUCAGCCCCCCGCCCGGCCAGCCGCCCCGUCCGGGAGGGAGGUGGGGGGGUCAGCCCCCCGCCCGGCCAGCCGCCCCGUCCGGGAGGGAGGUGGGGGGGUUAGCCCCCCGCCCGGCCAGCCCCCCCAUCCGGGAGGGAGGUUGGGGGGUCAGCCCCCCGCCCGGCCAGCCGCCCCGUCCGGGAGGUGAGGGGCGCCUCUGCCCGGCCGCCCCUACUGGGAAGUGAGGAGCCCCUCUGCCCGGCCACCACCCCGUCUGGGAGGUGUACCCAACAGCUCAUUGAGAACGGGCCAGGAUGACAAUGGCGGCUUUGUGGAAUAGAAAGGGGGGAAAGGUGGGGAAAAGAUUGAGAAAUCGGAUGGUUGCCGUGUCUGUGUAGAAAGAAGUAGACAUGGGAGACUUUUCAUUUUGUUCUGUACUAAGAAAACUUCUUCUGCCUUGGGAUCCUGUUGAUCUGUGACCUUACCCCCAACCCUGUGCUCUCUGAAACAUGUGCUGUGUCCACUCAGGGUUAAAUGGAUUAAGGGCGGUGCAAGAUGUGCUUUGUUAAACAGAUGCUUGAAAGCAGCAUGCUCGUUAAGAGUCAUCACCACUCCCUAAUCUCAAGUACCCAGGGACACAAACACUGCGGAAGGCCGCAGGGUCCUCUGCCUAGGAAAACCAGAGACCUUUGUUCACUUGUUUAUCUGCUGACCUUCCCUCCACUAUUGUCCUAUGACCCUGCCAAAUCCCCCUCUGUGAGAAACACCCAAGAAUUAUCAAUAAAAAAUAAAUAAAUAAAAAAAAAAGAUUCA